GUAGCAUUUAAAUAUCUCAAUGCAGUUAAAUAGUUUUUAAGGCACUUUCUACUUUGAAGGCUAGAACUAACGAUUAAUUAGUAGAAUGCCUGCUUGCAUGUAGAGAUGGCCCUAGGAGAGGACUCUCACCAGAACUGAACCAUGCCGACAUCACCAUCUCAGAAUUCCAGCCUUCAGAACUGGAAGGAAUAAAUUUCUAUAACUGAUCUGUAAGAAAUGCUGUUGGAUUGUGUUAAAUCUUUAUAUCAGACAUAGGUGUAGGCAAAGACUUUCUGAAUAGAACCCCAAUGGGUUAGAAUACCAAGAACCAACAAAUGGGAUCUUAUCAAAUUAAAAAUCUUCUACACAGCAAAGGACACCGACAAAGUGAAAAGAUAACCUCUUCCUAAACCUAAACUUUAAGUUUUUCCAGCUAUUCUUCAGACAGAGGACUAAUAUUUAGG